UAUGUUCUCAUUGCCAUUUUAUUAACUUUUGGAUUUGUUUUUGUUGCUCUUUUUUCUUUCUUCUCUUGUUCUCUUCUCUUGUGGUUUGAUGAUUAUCUUUAAUGUUGUAUUUGAGUUGCUUUUUCUUAUUUGUGUGUGUAUCUAUUAUAGAUUUUUUGUUUGCAGUUACCCUGAAGUGUUGAUAUAGGAGUCUUUAUAUAUACAAGAUUGUUUUAAACUGUUGGUCUCUUAAUUACAAAGUACAUCUCCAGUAUCCUGCAUUUAUACCCUUCUCUUACAGUUUCUGAUUUUGGUGACAUAUUUGUGUGUGGAUGAUUUCCUGCCUUUACUAUAUGUAUGCCUUUACUGGUGAGCCUUGUCCUUUGUAAUAUUUUUGUUUCUAAUUGUAACCUUUUCUUUUCUACCUAGAGGAGUUCCUUUAGUAUUUGUCAUAAAGCUGGUUUAGUGGUGCUUAAUUCUCUUAGCUUCACUUGUCUAUAAAGCUUUUGAUUUCUCCUUCAAAUCUGAAUGAGAGCCUUGCUGGGUAGAGUAAUCUUGGUUGGAGGUCUUAUCCUUUCAUCACUUUAAGUAUAUCAUGCCACUCCCUUCUAGCCUGCAGAGUUUCUGCUGAAGAAUCUGCCAAUAACCUUAUUGCAGUUCCCUUGUAUGUUACUUGUUUCUUUUCCUUAGCUUCUUUCAAAUUUUCUCUUUGUCUUUAAUUUUGGUCAGUUUGAUUAAUAUGUGUCUCAGGGUAUUCCUCCUUGGAUUUAUUUUAUAUAGUACUUGCUGUGCUUCCUGUAUUUGAGUGAGUGAUUUCUUUCCCAUGUCAGGGAAGUUUUCAGCUAUUAUCUCUUCAAAUAUUUUUUCUGUCCCUUUCUCUCUCUCUUCUCCUUCUGGCACCCCUAUAAUAUGGAUGCUGGUGCAUAUAACGUUGUCCCAGAGUUCUCUGAGACUCUCUUCAUUUCUUGUCAAUAUUUUUCUCUUUUCUGUACUGCAUCAGUGAUUUUGACUAGUUUGUCCUCCACCUCGCUUAUUUGUUCUUCUGCCUCCUGUAUUCUGUUCUUGGUUGCUUCUAAUGAAUUUUUUAUUUCAGUUAUUGUAUUUUGCAUCUCUGCUUGCUUAAUCCUUAAAUCUUGUAUUUCUUUGUUCAGAGUUUUUUGUAAUUUAUCAAUCUUUGCCUCCAGUUUAUUUCCAACAUCUUGAAUCAUCUUCCCUAUCAUCAAUCUAAAGUCUUUUUUAUGGAGGUUGAUAAUGUCCAGAUCACUUAGCUGAUUUUCUGGAUUUUUUUCUUGCUCCCUUAUCUGAGUCGUAAUUCUCUGUCUUUUCAUUUUGUAUAGAUUUCUGGUGUGGUCUCCUUUUUGCAGACAAUGUAGUUGCAGCCUCUCUUGCUUCUAAUGUCCGUCCCCCUUGUCACUGAAGUUGGUAUAGGGGCUUGCUAUAGGUUUCCUAAUGGGAAGGACUGGUGCCUGCCCACUUGUGGGUGGAGCUGAUUCUUAUCCCUCUUGCUGAUGGGGCUUUCUUUAUCUCUGGGUAAGAUUAGAGGUGGCCACGUGCCUGGGAGGGGGGUCUUUAGGCAGCCUGUUUGGUGAUGGGUGGGGCUGUGAUCACUCCUGGAUUAUUGUUUGGCUUGAGGCUUCUCAGCAUUGAUGGGUGGGGCCAGAUUUUUCCAAAAUGGCAACCUUGUCUUGAUGUGGCCUCCUCUUUGUCUUCUGGAGUAGCAGUGCCUUUUAUUUUAUUUUGUUUAUUUAUUUACUUAUUUACUUAUUUAUUGCUUUUUAUGGCUGCACCCUAUGGCAUAUGGAAGUUCCCAGGCUAGAGGUUGAAUUGGAACUGCAGCUGCAGGGCUACCCCACAGCCACAGCAACAUGGAUCCAAGCCACAUGUGCAACCUACACCACAGCUCAGGGAAACACCAGAUCCUUCACCCACAGAGCAAGGCCAGAGAUUAAACCCACAUCAUCAUGGAUACUAGCUGCUUUCAUAAGCCACUGAUCCACAACAGGAAUUCCCUAUCAGUGCUUUUUAAAAGGUUCCCUAGAUCAUUUUAAUGAAAAGCAAUUGACUGGAUGAUCUUACUGGACCGUUCCAGCUUAAAAAAAAAUACCAUUACUUCAUCUGCUAGGUUAGAGAUACUUUAUUACAGUUUAAAUUUAGGAAUAAGAAAUAUGACUGAUAUUGUAAUAAUUAUGAUAAUGCUAGCACUAAUAUUUAUAGGCAGAGAGUUUCUUACCUUAACAUGAAAAGUAAGUUUGUUGUUCUUGUUCAAAUGACAGUUUAUACAAGAGAAAGAGACUUAGGACAAAUGAAAUGGGGCAGAGGCUGCAUCUGUACAUGUCUUUUGAGAAAUAGAGAAGGCAAAGGUAGCUCAUCCACUAAUUUUACUAUAGAAAAGUGAAUAACUUCCUAAGAUUUCAACCCAUAUAUGCACACACAAAAAAAAUCUACUUUCAGUUUUCAAAAUACACAUCCCUGCCACUAUGAACAAUGAACAAUGAGUCUUAUUCUGUGGCAGGAAAUUCUUCCCACAGUACCUGGCAGGUGAUCAAAUAUCACCCAGUUCCUGCAAGCCUAUUUGAUCCUGCGAGUCUUGGCAGACUGUGUGUCAUUGGUUUAUAGUCUGUACUUCCUGUAAACUUAAUGGUGGUUUUAAAAAAAUAAAAGUACCAGCAUAAUAUAAAUGUAUGUCCUCCUUACGUUGCCUUCAUCUGUGACAUCCAAAUCAAAGCCUUGUCAUCUGAGGUCUUACUAGAUCCCUGUAAGAGAAUAUCAACAAUUAUUCAUGAUCACCUAAAACAAACAGGGUCUCAUUCAAACACUGGCUAUCAGUGUCUGACUUUCAAACCAAGAGCAAGGCUAAGGCCUCAGCCUGCCUAGCUGACUGUCCACUGGGUGACAGUGUUGAACCAUGUGAAAUAAAUGUGCUUUGUCCCUGGGCCAGCAAGCUCUGGGAAAGACUGCAGCCAGAUGGAGUCCUGAGGGUCUUGGGGAGGUUCUGCCUUCCUUCAGGAGCAAGGCAAAAUGAUUUGAUUUUCUUUAUCUUUAAAGGGAAAACACGAGGUGAAUUGGUCUGAUGUUACCAUGUUGUGUGUGGGUUUCUGUGGGCAAAGCAGUACAGAGAAUAGAUGGGAUUGUCCAUGAUAAAUUAAUCUUCAUUUUCCUGAUAAUUUAAUGAAGGCAGGAAACUUGCAAAGAGCAUUGUGAAAACUCAGCUGAUGAUUCAUUUUAUUAGUGUACUCAGAUGUGUUGGGUGGGACAGUUCUUUACCUAAAGUGUUCAUUCUAAUGCAAACGUGCUAGAGUGUGGGAUGUGCAUUACCUGGGGCUCUGAAGAGGGACAAGAUUGUCUUUUUACAAUGUUUUGUACAAAUGACUGUGUCAUGGUAUUACAUUAUUCUGUCCAUUCUGGAUGUUAUCUCUGUCUUCAAAAGGAGAAAUAGACAGGGAACAACAAAGACAGUAGUAUGAUUCAGUGUGAUCAGUAGAAAUGAUGAGAGUAUGUUAUGACAGGAGUUCCUCUCAUGGCGCAGUGGUUAACAAAUCCGACUAGGAACCGUGAGGUUGCAGGUUCGAUCCCUGGCCUUGCUCAGUGGGUUAAGGAUCUGGCGUUGCCGUGAGCUGUGGUGUAGUCACAGACGCAGCUCGGAUCCCAAGUCGCUGUGGCUCUGGCAUAGGCCGGUGGCUACAGCUCCAAUUGUGCUCCUAGCCUGGGAACCUCCAUAUGCCACAGUAGCAGCCCUAGAAAAGGCGAAAAG
rnacentral:lncRNA from 1 species